rnacentral:misc_RNA from 1 species
UCUCCGUAGGUGAACCUGCGGAGGGAUCAUUACAGAGUUCAUGCCCCAACGGGUAGAUCUCCCACCCUAUGUUAUCAUCACUUUGUUGCUUUGGCGGGCCGUCAGGCCUCGGCUUGGCUACCGGCUCUCGCUGGUAAGCGCCCGCCAGAGAACCCCAAACCCUGAAUAUCAGUGUCGUCUGAGUACUAAAUAAUAGUUAAAACUUUCAACAACGGAUCUCUUGGUUCUG